CAAUCAGGUUGAUAUUGUUUAUUUUGGCUUGUGGGUCUCCCCUGUGCUAACCCUGAUGCUUUUGUUUGCUUAUAACCUUUAAACUGAACCCCCAAGAAAUCUAGUUUGGAGGCUUAAUUUUUGUAAUUAUUUCUUUUAAGAUCUAGCAAAAAGCCUAAGUUCCAGAU